rnacentral:rRNA from 1 species
UACGUAGGGUGCGAGCGUUAAUCGGAAUUACUGGGCGUAAAGCGUGCGCAGGCGGUUUGUAAGCCAGAUGUGAAAGCCCCGGGCUUAACCUGGGAAUGGCAUUUGGGACUGCAAGGCUGGAGUGUGGCAGAGGAGACUGGAAUUCCUGGUGUAGCAGUGAAAUGCGUAGAUAUCAGGAGGAAUACCGAUGGCGAAGGCAGGUCUCUGGGCUGACACUGACGCUCAUGCACGAAAGCGUGGGGAGCAACAGG